AAAUUAAAAAAACCCAUCACUUUUCAACCCUAAUAACCCUAAGCUCUCUCUUCACACAGUGUCCCUUUCGUCGCCUCCCUCACUCUCCGGUGGAGUGGAGAGAAGUCACUUUCCGUCGUUCUUUUCUCAGCAUCGCCUCCUGUGGUAACUUCUCCGGUAACAACAACAACAACAAUCUUCCAGUUAAGCUGAUUUUCUUCUUCAGUCCAGGUUGGAAGUGUUCAAGCAGAUGCUUCUCAAAGAGUAUUUUUAUAGAAUACGGAUUGAAUCAAAAUGAAGAAGCAAGAACAGAGCUGAGAGCAGUAGAUGUGUGGAUACUGACCGACAAGCCUUACUCUCAUCAAUCCAUUCAUUUGGUUAAAUAGUAAAUAGAGCUCAAAUUCCCACAAAAAGUUCAACACUCAUUUCUAUGAUCGCAGAUGAGGAUACUGUUGUUGGAUUUCUGCUGGCUGGAGUGGGUAAUGUUGACUUGCGAAGGAAGACAAAUGAUCUUAUUGUAGAUUCAAGCAGCUGCUAUUUUUAAUGAUUUUGUAUAUUUUCAUGUUAGUUGUUAGUGUUUCCAGAAUAAAUGAAGUUUUAUUAGAAUUGAAUAAGAAUAAAAUAAUUCUUACUAUCAAGAAUUUGCUAUACGAUGCAUAAAAUAAGCUUUUCAAUUAAUGUGGUUAUUUGGGAA